CUCUCCUUUGCUUUAGUGUUUGGUUCUCCAAAUCCCCAGCAGAUGGCAGUAUUGUAGCAAAGGACUGUAUACAAUGCAUCUUUUGGUUCUAUUCAACUGAGAUAGAGAGACCCAAACUCUAAAUCAGGGGUGUGCAAACAACUCGGAAUAAGCUGCUUUCCUAUCAAAAGUUUGCCUUAUAAAAGGCAGCGGCAGAUUAAAACGUUGCACUUUAUGCUUAGUGAAGAGGAGUAUUUUUUCAGCGUAUUUUAAUGGUUUCUAUAAGAGUAAUCCCACUCAUCUAAAACAUGCAUGCACUUCAUAGUAACUCUAUAUGUCUAAAGUGAAAGUU